rnacentral:rRNA from 1 species
GACGAACGCUGGCGGCGUGCCUAAUACAUGCCAGUCGAACGCUUCUUUCCUCCCGAGCGCUUGCACUCAAUUGGAAAGAGGAGUGGCGGACGGGUGAGUAACACGUGGGUAACCUACCCAUCAGAGGGGGAUAACACUUGGAAACAGGUGCUAAUACCGCAUAACAGUUUAUGCCGCAUGGCAUAAGAGUGAAAGGCGCUUUCGGGUGUCGUUGAUGGAUGGACCCGCGGUGCAUUAGCUAGUUGGUGAGGUAACGGCUCACCAAGGCCACGAUGCAUAGCCGACCUGAGAGGGUGAUCGGCCACACUGGGACUGAGACACGGCCCAGACUCCUACGGGAGGCAGCAGUAGGGAAUCUUCGGCAAUGGACGAAAGUCUGACCGAGCAACGCCGCGUGAGUGAAGAAGGUUUUCGGAUCGUAAAACUCUGUUGUUAGAGAAGAACAAGGACGUUAGUAACUGAACGUCCCCUGACGGUAUCUAACCAGAAAGCCACGGCUAACUACGUG